GUUAAGUGAAUAAGGGCGCACGGUGGGUGCCUUGGCACUAGGAGCCGAUGAAGGACGGGACUAACACCGAUAUGC
rnacentral:rRNA from 1 species